GGUGAGUAAUGCCUAGGAAUCUGCCUGGUAGUGGGGGACAACGUUUCGAAAGGAACGCUAAUACCGCAUACGUCCUACGGGAGAAAGCAGGGGACCUUCGGGCCUUGCGCUAUCAGAUGAGCCUAGGUCGGAUUAGCUUGUUGGUGAGGUAAUGGCUCACCAAGGCGACGAUCCGUAACUGGUCUGAGAGGAUGAUCAGUCACACUGGAACUGAGACACGGUCCAGACUCCUACAGGAGGCAGCAGUGGGGAAUAUUGGACAAUGGGCGAAAGCCUGAUCCAGCCAUGCCGCGUGUGUGAAGAAGGUCUUCGGAUUGUAAAGCACUUUAAGUUGGGAGGAAGGGUUGUAGAUUAAUACUCUGCAAUUUUGACGUUACCGACAGAAUAAGCACCGGCUAACUCUGUGCCAGCAGCCGCGGUAAUACAGAGGGUGCAAGCGUUAAUCGGAAUUACUGGGCGUAAAGCGCGCGUAGGUGGUUUGUUAAGUUGGAUGUGAAAGCCCCGGGCUCAACCUGGGAACUGCAUCCAAAACUGGCAAGCUAGAGUACGGUAGAGGGUGGUGGAAUUUCCUGUGUAGCGGUGAAAUGCGUAGAUAUAGGAAGGAACACCAGUGGCGAAGGCGACCACCUGGACUGAUACUGACACUGAGGUGCGAAAGCGUGGGGAGCAAACAGGAUUAGAUACCCUGGUAGUCCACGCCGUAAACGAUGUCAACUAGCCGUUGGAAUCCUUGAGAUUUUAGUGGCGCAGCUAACGCAUUAAGUUGACCGCCUGGGGAGUACGGCCGCAAGGUUAAAACUCAAAUGAAUUGACGGGGNCCNNNNNCNNNNNGNNG
rnacentral:rRNA from 1 species